CUUUUAUACUACUAAAAGAAAAGAUGGAUUUUGAAAGGCGUACCCAUCUACUCUACCCAUUUUUCCUGUGAAUGUGUGUUUUCUAAACUCAUCCAUAAAAAUGUUUUGUCUUCCUUUUGGCAUUUUUUUUAGUCGUCUACUUCUACGUUGAAACCAUAAAUCUAUAAUGUUUUGCAUUUUUCUUUUCAAUCUUCUUGUGCAUAAACCCUAAAUCUAUUGUGCUUAUCAUUUCCCUUGUCAUUGUUCUCGAGCACAAAUCCUAGAUCUAUGUUCUACCAUCCAAAAUUCCCCUAAUUUUCCUUUUGUUGGACAUCCUUUUUUUUUCUUGUUCAAAGAUUGGUGUUGUUUUCCUGUUUGAAAGGCUUCGCCAAAACUUUGAUGGUGAACAAGAAAAUGUAGAUGUUAAAGAUUGCAACUUUGCUCAGGGCGUUAGACGUGGGGUCGUUGACGUGGAGGUGACGCAACAACUGCAUAGCGAAGGUUUUAGUGGUACAUUUGCUCCAUAGAAAGGAAAUUCACGAAGAAAAAUGUGUAUAGAAUUAUUUGCCGUGCAACAUGGAAUACAGCCAAGUUAUGAAAUGCGAGCAAGGAAAGCUAGACGUGUUGCAAUGUUAAUAGCUCAAGAGCAUGGUGGAAAGCAAUUAGUUGGCCCUGAACGUAUACGUUCCACAAAUAAUGUUAACAAAUCGAGAUGGUUUUGAACCUGAAAGAGUUAUGAAGAAGGGAAAUAAAAGGUUACACAUGUCUUAUCGUGAGUAUUAUUGCUACAAAUUACAAGUUCGAAACUCAGACCUUCGAAACUCAACACAUUGAAGAUAAGUAAAACCAAAAUCUUGUGGAGAUGCACAUAGUGGAAAAGUGAUCAUGAGUUUAUAACGUAAAAGCGCACUUGAAAAUCAAGUGAACGUCUAGAAGGUAAUAAGUACUUAAUAGUGUUUUGUCAUCAUGCCGUACUUUUAGUCAGUUAUGUCUAUGAAUAUACUGUCGUUCAUUGUUAAAUCUCAAUAUUUCUGUUAUUUUCCUAUCGAAGUUAUAGAUUGGACCCUUCAAAUCCACAGAAGGUUAAAAGGCAAAAUUGAAGGUCAAAGUACGCCUAAAUUUGCAUGGUACCAUUUCAAAUCAGUUGCAACCCUAAGUCUCUCUUUGUAUAACUCUUUGAAGUAAGUAUUUUGUUGAAUAUUUCUAUGAACUAUAACAAUCCUGUUUGAAUUUAAAUUAAUUUAAAUCAGCUACUAGUUCUUUCGUGAAUUUUUUACUAUUCUUAUGUUUCCAUGUGAAUACGCCCGUGUAUUGUUUAUGGUAGAAGGAAAAAAAUUGCAUUGCAUCUCACUUAAAGUGGGAUCAAGAUAGUAACUGAUAAGAAGUAACAUAAUUAAGGUGGCCAUGUAUUAGUAAAUAUAUUUUUGAUACAUUUAAAUGGAAGUCUUGACAUUUAUGACCAUUAUGGCUAGACUCUCUAAAUAUCCAAGUGUCUGUUCACAAAUUUCAAUUUAGUUACAUAUUGCAGAAAAGUAUGCAAAAAGAAAUAAUGCAUAUCUGAGCAACCACAUUUGUAGAAAUGAUUGUCAGAAUACUUUUGCACUAUGAUUUGAGUACACAUAUUUCUGUUACUGUUUGCUUUACUUUUUGGAAAUAUUACCUGUAUUUUCCUGAAAAAAGUUUACUUUA